rnacentral:rRNA from 1 species
UACAGAGGUCUCAAGCGUUGUUCGGAUUCAUUGGGCGUAAAGGGUGCGUAGGUGGCGCUGUAAGUCAGGUGUGAAAUUUCGGAGCUUAACUCCGAAACUGCAUUUGAUACUGCGGUGCUCGAGGACUGGAGAGGAGACUGGAAUUUACGGUGUAGCAGUGAAAUGCGCAGAUAUCGUAAGGAAGACCAGUGGCGAAGGCGGGUCUCUGGACAGUUCCUGACGCUGAGGCACGAAGGUCAGGGGAGCAAACGGG